GCUGACGUGGCACUUUAAAAACGCAGCUGUCUUCCCCAAAUCUGUCUACACCAACCGUGACCCACAAGCCACGUUUCUCCCAAAAUCGAAAAUCAGAGUCCGUACUGUGUCGUCGCCUCACCAUCUCCGGCAGCCCUGCAAUCGGAGAUAUCUUCGUGGCUUCGGCAGCAAUUUCGUCGACUGUUUCACCACUGGACGGUUCACAUUCUCCAACCGCACUUCAACCAAAGGUUUUGCCUCAGCUUUGGCCGCACUUCGGGCCAUGGUUUCACCACCUCCCGCUUUAUCUCCGGCCGCAUGCUAGAACACUGUGUGAAAACUAAUCUAUCGUUGUAGUCAUAAUUUCAUAUAGACGAAAAGAAACGGUGGUGCUUCUCGUUGUUUGAAUUAAUUUUUUCUCCCCUAUUUUAGCCUCUCAUACUUUACAGAGUGGGCAGACAAAAUUAUGGAAUUUGUCGUAGUUGUAUAGCUAAGGGGUCAGCAUGAAGAUAUGGAAUGCAUGUUCCCCUCAUAGAAUGGACGAACGAAAGAGUUGAAGAUAAGGAACGCAUGUUCCAAUCUCUCGAGUUCGUCUCAAUGAUGAAGAAGAACUAUGAAUUUUGAUGACCGUGACAAUUAGCGAAGUGAAUGGUAGUGUGGAAGGAAAGGCCAAAGGAAAGGGGCCAGCAUGAGUAGCAGGAAUUAAUCAAACGGCCUAUCACAUGGAGAUUUAGGCAAUUACAUCUUUUGUGUUCUAUUGUUGGGUAAAAUUGUUUUGGCAGUUCAAUGUAGCUAGACAGUGUUAAAAUCCAUUGUUCUUGUUCGAAGCUUCGAAGUUAUGAUUUGUGAAGAAUGUUAAAACCCACGUUUCUUGUGCAAAAUGUUAUGAUUUUAACUGGACAACAGUGAAGCGCACACAAGCAAUAUCUUUGUUAAAAUCCACGUUUCUUGGUAAACAUUCUUUCAAUUUCUUUGU